AUUGAACGCUGGCGGCAUGCCUUACACAUGCAAGUCGAACGGCAGCACGGGAGCAAUCCUGGUGGCGAGUGGCGAACGGGUGAGUAAUACAUCGGAACGUGCCCAGUAGUGGGGGAUAACCCGGCGAAAGCCGGACUAAUACCGCAUACGACCUACUGGUGAAAACGGGGGAUCGCAAGACCUCGCGCUAUCGGAGCGGCCGAUGUCAGAUUAGCUAGUUGGUGGGGUAAAGGCCUACCAAGGCGACGAUCUGUAGCUGGUCUGAGAGGACGACCAGCCACACUGGGAAUGAGACACGGCCCAGACUACUAAGGGAGGCAGCAGUGGGGAAUUUUGGACAAUGGGCCCAAGCCUGAUCCAGCCAUGCCGCGUGCGGGAAGAAGGCCUUCGGGUUGUAAACCGCUUUUGUCAGGGAAGAAACGCUCCGGGCUAAUACCACGGAGUAAUGACGGUACCUGAAGAAUAAGCACCGGCUAACUACGUG
rnacentral:rRNA from 1 species